ACGGAGGGUGCGAGCGUUGUCCGGAAUCACUGGGCGUAAAGGGCGCGUAGGCGGCGCGAGCAGUCGGCGGUGAAAGCCCGGAGCUCAACUCCGGGUCGGCCGUCGAUACUCUCGUGCUUGAGCACUGUAGAGGCAGAUGGAAUUCCUGGUGUAGCGGUGAAAUGCGUAGAUAUCAGGAGGAACACCGGUGGCGAAGGCGCUCAUCUGGCCCAAUACUGACGCUGAGGCGCGAAAGCUAGGGGAGCAAACGGGA
rnacentral:rRNA from 1 species